CAGUCGCCCGGUAAUACGGAGGAUCCAAGCGUUAUCCGGAAUCAUUGGGUUUAAAGGGUCCGUAGGCGGUCUUGUAAGUCAGUGGUGAAAGCCCAUCGCUCAACGGUGGAACGGCCAUUGAUACUGCAGGACUUGAAUUAUUGGGAAGUAACUAGAAUAUGUAGUGUAGCGGUGAAAUGCUUAGAGAUUACAUGGAAUACCAAUUGCGAAGGCAGGUUACUACCAAUUGAUUGACGCUGAUGGACGAAAGCGUGGGUAGCGAACAGGAUUAGAGACCCCAGUAGUCCCUGUCUCUUAUACA
rnacentral:rRNA from 1 species